rnacentral:rRNA from 1 species
CCUACGGGUGGCAGCAGUGAGGAAUAUUGGUCAAUGGACGAGAGUCUGAACCAGCCAAGUAGCGUGAAGGAUGACUGCCCUAUGGGUUGUAAACUUCUUUUAUAAAGGAAUAAAACGAGGCACGUGUGCCUUUUUGCAUGUACUUUAUGAAUAAGGAUCGGCUAACUCCGUGCCAGCAGCCGCGGUAAUACGGAGGAUCCGAGCGUUAUCCGGAUUUAUUGGGUUUAAAGGGAGCGUAGAUGGGUUGUUAAGUCAGUUGUGAAAUUUUGCGGCUCAACCGUAAAAUUGCAAUUGAUACUGGCAGUCUUGAGUAAAGUUGAGGUAGGCGGAAUUCGUGGUGUAGCGGUGAAAUGCUUAGAUAUCACGAAGAACCCCGAUUGCGAAGGCAGCUUACUAAACUGUGACUGACAUUGAUGCUCGAAAGUGUGGGUAUCAAACAGGAUUAGAUACCCUGUAGUC